rnacentral:rRNA from 1 species
CAGCACCUCAAGUGGUCAGGAUGAUUAUUGGGCCUAAAGCAUCCGUAGCCGGCUCUGUAAGUUUUCGGUUAAAUCUGUAUGCUCAACAUACAGGCUGCCGGGAAUACUGCAGAGCUAGGGAGUGGGAGAGGCAGACGGUACUCGGUAGGAAGGGGUAAAAUCCUUUGAUCUAUUGAUGACCACCUGUGGCGAAGGCGGUCUACCAGAACACGUCCGACGGUGAGGGAUGAAAGCUGGGGGAGCAAACCGGAUUAGAUACCCGAGUAGUCC